rnacentral:rRNA from 1 species
AACGAACGCUGGCGGCAGGCCUAACACAUGCAAGUCGAGCGAGGACUUCGGUUCUAGCGGCGGACGGGUGAGUAACGCGUGGGAACGUGCCCUUUGCUUCGGAAUAGCCCUGGGAAACUGGGAGUAAUACCGGAUGAGCCCUUUGGGGGAAAGAUUUAUCGGCGAAGGAUCGGCCCGCGUUGGAUUAGGUAGUUGGUGGGGUAAUGGCCUACCAAGCCGACGAUCCAUAGCUGGUUUGAGAGGAUGAUCAGCCACACUGGGACUGAGACACGGCCCAGACUCCUACGGGAGGCAGCAGUGGGGAAUCUUAGACAAUGGGGGAAACCCUGAUCUAGCCAUGCCGCGUGAGCGAUGAAGGCCUUAGGGUUGUAAAGCUCUUUCAGCUGGGAAGAUAAUGACGGUACCAGCAGAAGAAGCCCCGGCUAACUCCGUG